GAGGCAUCUCUCUAGCUCCAG
rnacentral:miRNA from 1 species